AUCUUAAAGGCAAGCUGGGUUCAUUCUGGCUCUGAUGUAUAAACCCCAUUCUGGUUUAUGGAAAGAAGCGUUGACUGGUCUGGCCUCCAGAUGGAUCUGCCCCCCACAACACAAGCCAGGAAUGUCAAGGCUGGAAGGAGGGCCUUCCAGAUGAAAAGAAUGAUCAAGAGGGAAUAGGGAGGAAGCUGACUUCAGAGAUCUGCCUAACCUCGGAGAGGGAGGAUCUGCCUCUAGUAAACCUGGAAGGAAUUGGCUUCAGACCUACAGCCUGCCUGGGAGAAAGAGAAGGGGCAACUGAGGAGAUGGGAAGCAGACAGUUCAUCCACUGGAAUGAAGACUGAUCCCGUUCAAACCAUAUGCAGUGUUGUUGUAGAUGUGUCAGUCCCAAGAUAUUAGAGAGAUAAGGAGGGUGAGAUAAUAUCCUUUAUGGGACCAACUUCUGUUGGUGAGAGAGACAAGCUUUCAAGCAACACGGAGCUCUUCUUCAGGUCACGGAAACUCACUCAGCGUGCAAAAAUGAACACUGUCUUCCUUGCGCACAGUUUAACAGUGCUGAGUCUCAUGAAUGGAUGGUUAAAAGGGAAAUAAGUCACCCAUGAAGUCCACAUUUAGAAUCCAUGAGAGCACAUUUGGAAUAUUUUGUGUUAAUUACUGAGUUAUGAUGUCCCACUAGCGCAGAUAUGAGAGUUGCAAUAAAUUCCUCUCUGGAGAGCACUGGACAGAAAAGAUACUAUGAACUGGAACUAAACUCAGGCAUCAGUCAAACAUCAGGCUACAAACAAUGGCAUUUCAGAGUCAUGUACUGUAUUACUGACAGUUAUCUUUCUGUAAUAUACACAGGUUUUUGGAAUGCAACCCACACAGUAGUCACUAUUUCCCCAGCCAGGAUUGUUGAGCCCGCCAUUCACCACCCUAAGAAUGAUAAUAUGCUAACAGAGUGUGUGCAGCACUCACCAAAACCCUGAGAGAUGACAGUCACCGGUGGCUUCCCAGGACACUAAAUAGGAAGAAGUAGUGACAUGACUCAGUAACACCAAGAGCCACAUUGUGAGAGUUGAAAACUGCGUGGGGCAUGCAAUGAAAGCAGCGAAGCAGCAGGGGCAACACUAUCUAUGGACAAGGACAGUUAGAUUACAGAUUUAACACACACACAAAAUUACGCAGCAACAGCGAGAUGGCUGGAAACCUUGGAAAACCACCAACUGAACAGAACGUCAGUGUUUGGAGAGUCCUGUUUGGGAGCUGGCCACAGAUAGCGUGCAGUAAACUGUUGCCAGACGUGUUGCUUAUUGAUUUUUUCUGAAGAGCCCAUUUGAACUGGAUGUGCAUUCUGAAUCCCCAAUGAGAGUCCCAGCUGGAGGAGGCAAUUCUGGAGGCACUAUACAUAUUACACUUUAGGACUCCAGGGACCGGGAUAGGUUUUUACAAGCAGCUAAAAUGAAGAAAGAGAUCAUAUGGGAAGGUGCUAGGCUCCUAUCGUUUCCGGACAUAAGUCCUAUAACCCAGGGCAAAAGGGAAGAAUUAACUGUGGUUUUAAAAAAAAAAAAGUUGUGAUAUAAAAUGUGUCUGCAUGAGUCUCUCUAGCCUGCCAAACGGCACAUUGUGCACAGUGAGAAAACUGACAUCUUUCAGAAAGUAGACGCAGCUUACAACAAGUCACUGUCGAAAGCAAAGAAGACAAGAGAGAAACUGUAAGAAGUUAGUCAGAGACUAAGGCCUGUGAUUUACCGCCCACCCCAGGGCUUGGAGUGCUGAAACUCUCCCUAUAAAUUAUAAAUGUAUAUAAAUUAAUAAAUGAACACAGUCACCACUUCUGGGGACCA
ensembl:lncRNA